CUGAGAAACAAGCCUCCUUUGACCGACUGUUGGUGAGCAACCACUGAAGCAGGAUUCUUUACAGCACCUCUGGCGCAAUCCUCACAGACUGGAGACCAGCCUCCACGCAGGACCUGCCGACACACUUCGUUACGCUCUGCACAGCAAAGCACAUACGCAGUAAAGUGCGCAAGUCUUGAGGAAACAUCUUGAUGGCUUUAUAAACCCAUCAACACAGUGUUUUAAAAGAGAUAAUCAGCAAGGCUCCUUGGAUAAGGUUAUUAUAUUCAAGUCUUGCCAAAAAAUGUAAGAAAAAAAACUCCAAUUUGAUGGGAUCCAGAGGAACAAUUAUGCUUUCUAAAAAUAAGAUGAGCCGAAGCUAAGGAAAUGAAAACGUUUCUAAAGAAGAAGGUCAGGACUUCUUUUGUGGCCUCCUUUCAUCGCUGGGUUAUUCACUGUAAUAGUAGCCUGCCAUUUCAAACUAUGACUCAGGGGCCUGGUCAUGGGUUACAGAGCAUUUCAUCUGUGGUCACCCCACCUGCCCACGAGAAAUUGAUGGUUAGCGACUACGGAGCAGGUUACUCACUGAAUAUUAUUCUCCACCGUAACCUCCUGACCCUUGCCUCAUCGAAAAGAUUGGUGCUAUUCUGCUUUUACCUACAGAGAAAGAGCAAGGAGGAGAUAAAAUAGGACCUUGAUAUUCGGGGUUGUGGCUCAUUUCUGAAGGUCGGACAUGAAAAGCUGUUUCGAAUUUUGCCCCAUUCGUUCUUAAAACCGCAGCCCAGGAAUUUAUAAGCAUAGCUGCCCUUUAUCUCUCCCAAGAAUGAAAUUGCUUUCUCCAAUAGAGUUUAAAGGGAUGAAUUAAUUGGUGUUUUUGGCAGGAGUACUCUAUAAUUGCAAAGUACUCUGAGUAUCACCAUAUAGUUUUUUCCUUAGAUGGUCCAUUAGGAGGAACUAUGGCAUUCCCAAAGCUAUUCUUUAAUUAGGUCAGCAGCAUCUGCCAAGAAUCCGCUCUCCUCUCAGACCAGGUUUAAUCACAGUGACAAGUGACUUUCAAGUUUAUACCCACACACUCUUAGAUUUCUGAUUUGCCCUAGAAGAAGGUUCUGAUCACAGUGUUCUGAGCGCUGGCCCCUGGGCCUGACUUCCCUGUCUGUCUGGAUUUGGGAUUUUUGGCCUGCCCUUACCUUGUGACUUGCCCCCCUGGAUUGCUGACCCAUUCUUGACCUCUGACAACAGCACGCUCCUUAACAUCUGUUCUACCUGCAUAGAGCCUGGUCUUCCGCCCGAUUCUUAAUUCUGAUUAUUAGGCUCCUGGACCAGGCCAAUUCUCACAGCCUAAGGAGGAUGAAGAUGUCCUUAGACUAAAAUGGCCAAGACCAGAGCUCAUGAAUGACAAGGACAAACAACCCAAGGACUCAGUGAUCAUACAAAUGUCCAAAUGGGGGGCACAUGAAUUGCUGUAAGGCCUUAGAUUUCACAUAUUAUAUAUAUGAGGUUCAUAUAUUACAGUUAGUUACAGGACACUAAUGAGAGACAGACUUUUCAAACCUAGGUCACAGAACACUGAGCAUAGCCCUCAAAAUGCACCCUGGAUCACACAGCAAAAGAUACGCAGUCACGGAAUUGCUGCUGGGCCAAUGUGUCAAUCACGC
ensembl:lncRNA